UGGGGAAUCUUGCGCAAUGCGCGAAAGCGUGGCGCAGCAACGCCGCGUGGGGGAAGACGGCCUUCGGAUUGUAAACCCCUUUCAGGAGGGACGAAGGUUCGCCGGUGAAUAGCCGUGCGGAUUGACGGUACCUCCACAAGAAGCUCCGGCUAACUACGUGCCAGCAGCCGCGGUAAUACGUAGGGAGCAAGCGUUGUCCGGAAUCAUUGGGCGUAAAGCGCGCGUAGGUGGCCUCGUAAGUCCGCUGUGAAAGUCAAAGGCUCAACCUUUGAAAGCCGGUGGAUACUGUGAGGCUAGAGUACGGAAGAGGCGAGUGGAAUUCCUGGUGUAGCGGUGGAAUGCGCAGAUAUCAGGAGGAACACCAAUAGCGAAGGCAGCUCGCUGGGACGUUACUGACACUGAGGCGCGAAAGCGUGGGGAGCGAACAGGAUUAGAUACCCUGGUAGUCCACGCCGUAAACGAUGGGUACUAGGUGUGGGAGGUGUCGACUCCU
rnacentral:rRNA from 1 species